CUCUUUAUUGUUUCAACGCAAAUGUCAGCUCUUAUCAUUCCAUGUAAACGUGAUCAUGAUUGUCCAGAUUUUUUCUUAUCACAUAAAUAUAAAUAUAAGUGCCGUAAAGGUUAUUGUUCAUGACAAUAAUUAUAAAGCUCGAUAAAUAGUGAUUGUCGGACCCAAAAGAUACACAAGCACAUUACUAAAAUAUUUCAUGAGUCAGACGGUCGUCAUUAGCAUCAAAGAGGUCAGGCGGCCAACAUAGACCUAAUAAACUUUCAUCACAUAGUACAUAUGUCAUAUAUGUUUUUUUUUGUAGAUAGACGAAAUGACAAAAGUCAUUGAAAACUCACACAUACAAAGUGGAGGACCGGAGUUCAAACUCCUGUCAUGAAACACAUUAGCAAUUUCGGCAUUUCUGUCAAUUCAACUAAAUUUGUGGACAGUACAUAGUACAUGUGCCAUGUAAUUAUGCCUAUAAUCAUUUAUUGUUCCCCUAAUACUCGUAAUGUAGGUAAAGUGCUUAUUGCCUUCAUCUUCACACGAGAUGCGUGAAAUCCAUACUGUUUGUUGCAUUUCCUACUCUUAGACAUGGAAAUGCAACAAAUGCGUGAAAUUAUGCCUAUAUUUGGAUAGCAUGUUGAUAAUUCAAUUCAACUUUAUUUAAUAAAACAUGUUUUACUACCAAA